GGGGAAUAUAUAUAAUUGGAAGGAACAGGCAGUAAGAGAGAAACCCAGAGGGUGAGCUGUGUAGAGGAAAGAAAGCUGUGUGUGAAAGGCUCCCUGUGCUCAAGCCAGGAAAUUGAGGAUUAAAGGUCCCCAGAGUGAACAGGAGAAGGUGUUGGAUGAGGAAGAAGAGUAUGCAGGACAGGUGGCUGGGGAUCUAGUGGUUGAUUCCAGAGCAGUCAAGCCAGUCCCUACAGUGCAGUACAGGCAAACCUGAUGCAGGGGAAGGAACCCCUGCUGGAAAUGUGGCCUUGAGGGUCUCUGUCCACAUCAGUGGAGUGGCUCAGCCAGAUCAGGAGGAUAAAGAAGAGCAUGUGGGAUGACAUGUUCCAAGAGAUCCUGCAAGCCUCUGGUGCUUCAGCUACCAAGCACAGGGCUUGGAGGAUCACCCUUGUAGACAGAAUGGACAGGGAUAGAGUGGAGAGGAGAGAAGGAGAGAGACAUGCAGCAGGAUAUGCUUCGUGCUUCUCAAGCAGCAAACACAUGCUAGAAACUCCUGUUUGCCUCCAUCUGCAGCCCAUAGAGAACUGCAUUCUGGGACCUUCCCACCCCCACCCAUUCCACAUGGUGUCCAGGGCCCCUGCUUUACACCUACCACUCCACCCUGGGGGAGAGAGCAAUCACACCUGCACAUAGAAUGAGACACAUGGUUGGUGUAUAUUUUCUGUGCAAAUGACUUUUCUCCUUCAAAGGUUCUUUUCCCUGUAUUCAUAAAGAUUAAUUCAGUUAUAAA